CCUCAGGGCAUUGAGCACAGACUGAAUGACUCAGUGACGCUUGGAUCAGCUCAGAUCAAAUUCUCAAACAAACAGAUGGCUGGGGAUAUUCAGUAACAACGGUGAGGAGAGAGAGGAACAAUUCACAUUUCAAGGGACCCUUCCUCAAAACGGCCUGUUCUGAAGGAACUUUCCCGCAGAAAUCACUGGAUUGAAAGCUUCUGGCAACAAAUGGCCACAAACCGAUCAAAGGUGAAAGUGACGGUGAACCAGACAGAGCAGUCAGUGGCUGCAUAAAGCAGGACGGCGUGGAUAUUACACACGGGGACGGAGUCCCUCAGGAAAUAAAACUGUUCCAGAUAAACAAUGGGAAUGUGUCUCAGGAUCAGGUCGAGGAUAAUGACCAGGAGAUCCGCCGCUGCCAUGGCCCCCAGGUAUCUGUGUUACCUGUUUGGAUACAGGAUUGGCUGGCCAGCAGAAGACAGCAAGUGGUAGCGGAAGGAAAAUAUUCUGCCUGGAAGUCUGUGAAUCCCAGCAGUGUGGAAACAAGUACAUACCAACUUUCCAAAGAGUAACCUUGCCAUGCCCUCACAGUUACCACUGACUAAUGCACCUAAAGUAGAAAUCGCGGAACACGAUGGACUAUUUGACCAAUCCACUUGAAUUAUACAGCUUUGGGCUGUGGGAGGAAACGGGAGCACCCAUCAGAAGCUCACACAGACACGGAAAGAAGAUGCAAACUCCACGCAGAUAGUCGCCCGAGGCUGGAAUUGAACUCACGUCUCCCUGAUGCUGUGAUGGAACAGUGCGAACUACUGAGCCACUGUGCUAACCUGGAACCUCCUGCCAGCCUAAAGCAAAGGGAAUUCAGCCAAAUCCAACUCUCCCAGGAUAAAAUCCCCAUUGCUAGCAGCUGUGUGAGUGGAAUACCUUCAGAAGCAGAAUAACAUUUUGGAGAAUCUCACAAUUUUUCCUUUUGUCAUGAGUUACACUAAUAUUUGGAUAAGGUUCUUUCAACGUGAAAUUGCACAGAUUUGUGUGUGUGUGUGUGUGUGUGUGUGUGUGUGUUUAGAAUGGGAAAUAUCGAGUCUUUAUUUGCAAUACGCAAACAGUUUGCCAUCCAUCUUUCCACCUUAGUUGGAGUAACAUUGCUCUGGAUCAUAAACAUGUUGUUUUAGCAGAUUACAGAAACUAGCCUGACUUGUUCCUAAAACUGACCCUGACCCAGUCUGAGACCGAUAUCAUCGGCCACAUCACCGACCUGGUUACAUUUAACAUUUGUUGUGAGCAGUGGAGGAGUGGGACUAGAAAAGGAGACAGUGACCCAAAAAGCCGGGGAACUAUAGACCGGUGAGCCUGAUGUCAGUGGGGGGUAAGUUGUUGGAGGGGAUUCUGAGGGAUAGCAUUUACAUACAUUUGGGAAGGUAAGGGCUGAUUGGGGUAGACAACGUGGCUUCCUGCAUGGGAAAUCAUGUCUCAUUAAUUUGGUUGCGUUUUAUGAAGAGUUGACAAAGAAGAUUGAUGAAGGCAGUUUGGUAGACAUUGUCUAUGUGGACUUCAGCAAGGUGUUCAUAACAUUCCGAUUGGUAGGCAGAUUAGGAAGUUUCAGUCACAUGGGAUACAGAAGAAGCUCAUCACAAUUGGCUUGAAGGAAGAGGGAUAUUUUUCAGACUGGAGGCUUGUGAGCAGAAAUUAUGCACUUAAUGUUAAGGGCCUGGGGAGUGUUGUGAAACAAAUGGACAUAAGGCUGCAGGUACAUUGUUCCUCGAAAGUGAAGUUGAAUGCAGACAGUGCGGUACUGAACACAUUUAACACAUUUGCCUUAAUCAGUCAGAGCAUUGAGUAUAGGAGUUGUGGUGGAGGGAAAUGGGGUUAGUGUGGAUGGACAUUUACAAGGUGGAGUCGAACCCUUCUGUUAAUUAAAACCAAACACCCAGAAAAGCUCGCCUCACCUCGUAAUCUGUUAAAAUAUGAGCGACACAGAUCUCCCACAUUCCACUAUUUAAACAAAGAUUAACAAGUUUAUUUCUUAACUUUAUUAGUGAAAACUAAACAACAGCUAUUCACAAAUACAAGCCCCUCUUUUCUUAGCUACUUACUAUCUGACUCCAACUCUGUAAAAAGUAUGUUGUUCCAACAACCCACAUAUUAAACAUUACAAUCUCAAAACCAUACAGUCUCUAUCUUCCCCGCUGUAUUCACUCUUUCAGCUGCUGAUCUCCUUGGUUCAUUUUUUUUAUUGCAAAGAGGUUUGCAUGAACAUGUGUCUUUGAUAGAGUGUGUUUGAGAUGGUCAGUUAGCACUCCUGCUCUACAGCAGUUGCUCUACUGUUGGGUGGCAGUAGCUCUCUCUAGUGUUCAAAAUGCUGGGUUUAUAUGCUCCCCAUGAUAUAAUAAUUCUCAUAAUUUGAUUGCUUUCCAGGUGUCCAAACAAUAAUAUUCAAAUUCUGUUGGCUUCUGGUAUCCUGAGUGUUAUUUAAACUCUUUGGUUACAUUUGUAUGGCUGUCAAAACAGCAACCAAAACUCAGGAAUCCAUUUUUCAACUAAUGGUGACAUGUGGAACAGUGUGACCUUCGCUGGCAUCUGUGGCUUUAAUUUCUAUUCAGCAAAGCCCGAUCUGUUUUAAAGUGUCCAUAUAUGUUUUUGUCUUCAUAACAUCUCCCCGCUUCAGAAAAUAAAAUGAACUAGCUAAAUGAAAAGAUGGCAACAUUUGUUUUCCUCUAACUCUUAAUCCCAAUUUUAUGAAAUA